GACGAACGCUGGCGGCGUGCUUAACACAUGCAAGUCGAACGGAAAGGCCCUGCUUUUGUGGGGUGCUCGAGUGGCGAACGGGUGAGUAACACGUGAGUAACCUGCCCUUGACUUUGGGAUAACUUCAGGAAACUGGGGCUAAUACCGGAUAGGAGCUCCUGCUGCAUGGUGGGGGUUGGAAAGUUUCGGCGGUUGGGGAUGGACUCGCGGCUUAUCAGCUUGUUGGUGGGGUAGUGGCUUACCAAGGCUUUGACGGGUAGCCGGCCUGAGAGGGUGACAGGCCACAUUGGGACUGAGAUACGGCCCAGACUCCUACGGGAGGCAGCAGUGGGGAAUAUUGCACAAUGGGCGGAAGCCUGAUGCAGCAACGCCGCGUGCGGGAUGACGGCCUUCGGGUUGUAAACCGCUUUCGCCUGUGACGAAGCGUGAGUGACGGUAAUGGGGAAAGAAGCACCGGCUAACUACGU
rnacentral:rRNA from 1 species